ACGAACGCUGGCGGCGUGCCUAAUACAUGCAAGUUGAGCGCUGAAGGUUGGUACUUGUACCAACUGGAUGAGCAGCGAACGGGUGAGUAACGCGUGGGGAAUCUGCCUUUGAGCGGGGGACAACAUUUGGAAACGAAUGCUAAUACCGCAUAAAAACUUUAAACACAAGUUUUAAGUUUGAAAGAUGCAAUUGCAUCACUCAAAGAUGAUCCCGCGUUGUAUUAGCUAGUUGGUGAGGUAAAGGCUCACCAAGGCGAUGAUACAUAGCCGACCUGAGAGGGUGAUCGGCCACAUUGGGACUGAGACACGGCCCAAACUCCUACGGGAGGCAGCAGUAGGGAAUCUUCGGCAAGGGACGAAAGUCUGACCGAGCAACGCCGCGUGAGUGAAGAAGGUUUUCGGAUCGUAAAACUCUGUUGGUAGAGAAGAACGUUGGUGAGAGUGGAAAGCUCAUCAAGUGACGGUAACUACCCAGAAAGGGACGGCUAACUACGUG
rnacentral:rRNA from 1 species